UAGGGAAUAUUGGACAAUGGGUGAGAGCCUGAUCCAGCCAUGCCGCGUGCAGGAAGAAGGCGUUAUGCGUUGUAAACUGCUUUUUGCCAGGGGAUAAAAAGACCGUGCGCGGUUAAUUGAAGGUACCUGGUGAAUAAGCCACGGCUAACUACGUGCCAGCAGCCGCGGUAAUACGUAGGUGGCAAGCGUUGUCCGGAUUUAUUGGGUUUAAAGGGUGCGUAGGUGGCCCUGUAAGUCAGUGGUGAAAUAUCUCAGCUUAACUGAGAGGGUGCCAUUGAUACUGCAGGGCUUGAGUACAGAUGAGGUAGGCGGAAUUGACGGUGUAGCGGUGAAAUGCAUAGAUAUCGUCAAGAACACCGAUAGCGAAGGCAGCUUACCAAGCUGUAACUGACACUGAGGCACGAAAGUGUGGGGAUCGAAACAGGAUUAGAUACCCAAGUAGUCCCUGAGCGGGCUGGCAAGGCGCAU
rnacentral:rRNA from 1 species